rnacentral:tmRNA from 1 species
GGGGGCGUUCUUGGGAUUCGACGGGGAUAGUUCGAGCGUCAGUAGCGAGCCGAGGGGUUGCGUCUCUCGUUAAACACGCAAAUGCCAAAUGUAACUGGCAAAAACGAAAACUUUGCUCUGGCUGCUUAAUUAAGCGACCAGGAUCCGCUUCUCCAUCGCCCAUGUGGAGCUGUCGGGUCUCAUACCUUAGUGGGCUAGCUGCCUGAUCGGCCACUGGUCAGAAAGCGAAUCUCAAGUGGCUAGUCUCUAUAAACGCCUGUCACUGGGCAGUUAUCGAGGCGAACACUCAAUACAGUGACUGCGCUCGGAGAAGCUGGCGUGGCGAUGUCUUCGGACAGCGGUUCGACUCCGCUCGCCUCCACCA